GACGAACGCUGGCGGCGUGCUUAACACAUGCAAGUCGAACGGAAAGGCCCUGCUUUUGUGGGGUGCUCGAGUGGCGAACGGGUGAGUAACACGUGAGUAACCUGCCCUUGACUUUGGGAUAACUUCAGGAAACUGGGGCUAAUACCGGAUAGGAGCUCCUGCUGCAUGGUGGGGGUUGGAAAGUUUCGGCGGUUGGGGAUGGACUCGCGGCUUAUCAGCUUGUUGGUGGGGUAGUGGCUUACCAAGGCUUUGACGGGUAGCCGGCCUGAGAGGGUGACCGGCCACAUUGGGACUGCGGUACGGCCCAGACUCCUACGGGGGGCAGCAGUGGGGAAUAUUGCACAAUGGGCGGAAGCCUGAUGCAGCGACGCCGCGUGCGGGAUGACGGCCUUCGGGUUGUAAACCGCUUUCGCCUGUGACGAAGCGUGAGUGACGGUAAUGGGUAAAGAAGCACCGGCUAACUACGUG
rnacentral:rRNA from 1 species